UGCCAAUGAGAAAGACACAAAGUCUGGAUAGUAGAUGUUGGGGUACCCGGAGACAGCAGAAGAACUGGAGAAAAUCACAAAAUACAAAGACCUGCAUCUAAAAGUAGAACAACUGUGGCAAAAGAAAGCCAAGACAGUACCAAUAGUAAUAGGGUGCGAUCCCAAAACAAUUGAAGUACUAUUUGAACGCCAUCAACACUGACAAAAAUCACCCUCAGUCAGUUGCAAAAGGCAGCUUUACUUGGAGUUGCUUACAUCCCCAGCAAGGAUACCACCAUCUGCCUAUCCUCAGUCCUGGGCAAAGACUUGAAAAUGCCAAAUCCUAGUCUGACUGCUCAACAAACCAUAAUGUCAUUUUGCAUUUCGUAAGAGCCGUUUUCCAAUUAAUCCUUUCUCCCAAUAGCACAGAUCUGAUCCAAAGAAAAUGAAAACCUGAUUUUUACAAGGAGAUCCAACGUCCUUCCUUAAAGCAUGUGUGAAUGCUCUCCAAGUUUGAAUUCCAAGGCGGACCCUUAGCUGAGAUUUGACAAACAGCCCUUGCCAAUCCACAUUAUGCGCGCAAGGGCAUAAUUUGCUCAAAUCAUAGUAAAAGCAGACGCUACCUAAGUUAUCUGUUAGCACUUUGCAAAUGUUAAGUCUUUUCUCCGUCUUUGCUGGGUUUCUUUCCUUGUAGCAGGAAAAGUCCCACGAGCAAGCAUUCCCCCGCUUAUGUGUGCCACUCAUGCAUGGGAGUGAAAUGUGUUAACCUUUAAACAGUUUCGAAGUUGGUGCAGUUAAUAGGCAGGACAGAUAGUUACAAAGUCCUGAUUAACUACAGAAUACGGAGACAUGUGAAAACUUGUACAUAGCAAAAGAAAAGAGACAGCAGCUGUUACUUACCAGCCCGGAACACACCGCCAGAUGCCAGCUGAGGGAGCUCCUGGAUUGGCUCCAUGACCUUUAGUGAACAUCAGCUUGUUGUUGACUGGAUGCCAUUUCCUAUGAGAUGAUUGAAAGUCAAUUGAAAGUCUUCUUGGAUUCAUCAUUCCUGCUUGAUGAGCUGGCAGCAGCUAUGGCCAAAAAGGCCUCUGCACAUCUUCACCUGGUGUGCCAUUUGUGUCUUUUCCUGGGCACAAUUAGCCUCCUUGGCAUUAGGCCUCCCUGGCAUUCCAAGGCUAAUAGGCAUGAAGAUGGUGGGCCUACUUCAGAGAUUGGAGAGAGGAUUUAGCAGUGGUGCGGAAGUCCCCCGAAGUGAAAAGAAAUGCGUUGGAUCUUCAACAAUACAAGGGCAAGACAUUCUUCUGUAUCACUGGCCCACAUGGAGCCUCAAACCCUCAGAACAUCCCAAUAAGAAUUGUGCGAACUUUGUGGUCACAGAUGCCGAGAAACUACAUAGAAGUAGCUGUGGUUAGAAUGCAGUCUUGCAGGCUAAUUCUGACGACUGCCAACAGUUUGAUCCUGACUGGCUCAAGGUUGACUCAGUCUCCCAUCCUUUCGAGGUCGGUAAAAUGAGGCCUCAAGUUGUUGGUGGGGGGGGGCAGUAUGCUGACACUGUAAACUGCUUAGAGAAGGCUGUAAAGUACUGUGAAGCGUUAUAUAAAUCUAACUGCUAUUGCUAUUGCUUGUGGGACCACUAGGUUUUGUGGAUUUCAAUAAUUAACAAAGCUGCCAUGCCUAUCUAAUUUGAUUACCAAGACCAAUCCAUUUGCUUAUUCUCCUUUUAUCAAGCAAAAAUAGAACCUGUCAGAUGAAUUAGCAGCUUUUUUUUACAGUAUACACUUAUUACGAAAUGAAUUCAAUGGAUUUAGUGGGGCUUACUCUCAGCUAGGAAUUCAAUUGCCACCUUACUCACAGCUUAAACGGGCUGACUUGCUAAUGAAGAGUCAACAGCAGCUUGCUCUAACCUACUGCAGGAUUUUUUUUUUUACAGUUCUGAAGUAGGAUUGACAAGGCAGAGGGCGAACGAUUUCAUGACAUGUGAUAAAUCUGAAGGGGUGACAGAAAACAUGUAAAAGGUACGAAUUAUCAGGGCUCAUCGGAAUGUUAGUUCAGUAUAUACAAGUUGAAGGAUUAAGUCCUGGCUGAGCUUCCGGCACGGAGAAGGUGUCGUGUGGGCUUAGCAUGACACUCUGAUUAAGAUGCUGACAGAGCGCACAAAAACCCAUUUGUUGGACAUGUCAGAUGGAUGUGGCAUCAGUCUUUGUCUAGGAGAGUUCAGUUUUCUUUCAAAAGAUCCGUGUGGAUUUGCUGUGGGGAGAAUAGGCAAGGAAAGCAGCAGAUUUGCUUAAUACAAACAACAUACAAAGCACAUAACAAUGAAAAUCAGGGCGAUUUCUAUAGCUCUAGUAAGUGCAGGGAAACAUGACUGAGUAUAAGAAGUGUUCCCUUUCAUUUCCUACUUUCCCCAAACAGUUCGUAUUAUAUAGCUAAUUCUCCUCCUACCUGGAACUAAAUUGUGAAGCCGACUACUUUCUGAAAAAUAAAAUGAGGGAAAAUUGGAGCCAACAA